AGCAGCCGCGGUAAUUCCAGCUCCAAUAGUGUAUAUUAAAGUUGUUGCAGUUAAAAAGCUCGUAGUUGAAUUUCGGGAUCAAAUUGUCGGUCGUGCCUCGGUACGUACUGGCGUUAUUGGUUCCUCCCUUCUGAAGAACCACGAUGUCAUUAAUUUGGUGUCGCGGGGAAUCAGGACUGUUACUUUGAAAAAAUUAGAGUGUUUAAAGCAGGCUCGCGCUUGAAUACAUUAGCAUGGAAUAAUGAAAUAGGACGUUUGAUUCUAUUUUGUUGGUUUCUAGGAUCGACGUAAUGAUUAAUAGGGAUAGUUGGGGGCAUUAGUAUUCAAUUGUCAGAGGUGAAAUUCUUGGAUUUAUUGAAGACUAACUACUGCGAAAGCAUUUGCCAAGGAUGUUUUCAUUAAUCAAGAACGAAAGUUAGGGGAUCGAAGACGAUCAGAUACCGUCGUAGUCUUAACCAUAAACUAUGCCGACUGGGGAUCGGAUGAUGUAAUUUUUAAUGACUCAUUCGGCGCCUUACGG
rnacentral:rRNA from 1 species